rnacentral:rRNA from 1 species
AGUGAACGCUGGCGGUAGGCCUAACACAUGCAAGUCGAACGGCAGCACAGUAAGAGCUUGCUCUUACGGGUGGCGAGUGGCGGACGGGUGAGGAGUACAUCGGAAUCUACUUUUUCGUGGGGGAUAGCGUAGGGAAACUUACGCUAAUACCGCAUACGACCUACGGGUGAAAGCAGGGGAUCUUCGGACCUUGCGCGAUUGAAUGAGCCGAUGUCGGAUUAGCUAGUUGGCGGGGUAAAGGCCCACCAAGGCGACGAUCCGUAGCUGGUCUGAGAGGAUGAUCAGCCACACUGGAACUGAGACACGGUCCAGACUCCUACGGGAGGCAGCAGUGGGGAAUAUUGGACAAUGGGCGCAAGCCUGAUCCAGCCAUACCGCGUGGGUGAAGAAGGCCUUCGGGUUGUAAAGCCCUUUUGUUGGGAAAGAAAAGCAGCAGGUUAAUACCCCGCUGUUCUGACGGUACCCAAAGAAUAAGCACCGGCUAACUUCGUG